rnacentral:rRNA from 1 species
CCUACGGGUGGCAGCAGUAGGGAAUAUUGCUCAAUGGGGGAAACCCUGAAGCAGCAACGCCGCGUGGAGGAUGAAGGUUUUCGGAUUGUAAACUCCUUUUGUUAGAGAAGAUAAUGACGGUAUCUAACGAAUAAGCACCGGCCAACUCCGUGCCAGCAGCCGCGGUAAUACGGAGGGUGCAAGCGUUACUCGGAAUCACUGGGCGUAAAGAGCGCGUAGGCGGGAUAGCAAGUCAGAUGUGAAAUCCUAUGGCUUAACCAUAGAACUGCAUUUGAAACUGUUAAUCUAGAUUAUGGGAGAGGUAGGUGGAAUUUUUGGUGUAGGGGUAAAAUGCGUAGAGAUCAAGAGGAAUACUCAUUGCGAAGGCGACUUACUAGAACAUAACUGACGCUGAUGCGCGAAAGCGUGGGGAGCAAACAGGAUUAGAUACCCCUGUAGUC